rnacentral:lncRNA from 1 species
UCCCUUAGAAAACAAGGUAAAGAACGUCGGUGAGCAACCAUAUCAUGGGUAUAUGGGUCCAAACCCCGCCAUUCCACUCUACGAGAGCUUGUGCAUCGAUAAUGUGACAUCCCCCCAGGCAACUCACAAGUUCAAGAAUCUGAUGUGGCCUGCUGGAAAGAAAAACUUCAGGUAAGUUGGUAACUUCAACUUUUUACGUAUCAUUUACACAUGGUUUAUUAGAUUGUUUACACAAACUUUUUCUUUGUUGUUUUGGUGCAGUGAAACCACAGAUUCAUUUGGCCAGUUAUUAGCUGAUUUGGAUCGAACAGUGGGACAAAUGAUAUUCGAUAGCUUUGGGGUAGGAAACGAAUACGAGUCUGUUGCUUGUUGCAACAGUCACCUCCUUAGAUUCAUCAAAUAUAAGGUGCCGGAGGACCCUGAUAUUACGUUAAGGUUUCCAAUGCAUACAGAUAAUAACUUCACAACCAUAGUUGUUCAGCAUGAUGUUAGUGGGUUGGAGGUUAAAACAAAGGAAGGUGAUUGGAUUAAUAUCGAGUCUGUACCUUCGCACUUCUUAUUCAUGGCAGCCGAAGGAUUGCAGGUGAGUCCAAACUUUAAAUGCGGUAGUUCCAUCCUAUACGAAUAACGUACCGUCACAUAUACGAAAAAAAAUGUUCAUCGUAGCACAAUAUAAUAUGUAUAACAAAGACAAGAUAUUAAUAAUGAUGCAAGUAGUAAAUUUCUAAACAUAUUUCUUUUAUUUGGAUUCAGGUAUGGAGCAACGACAGAAUAAAAGCUUGCCAACAUCGAGUAAAACAUCGCGGAGACAAGACAAGAUACUCUCUCGGUCUGUUUACAUUCAACAAUGGAGUCAUACAAGUACCAAAAGAACUAGUGGACGAUGAGCACCCGCUGCUCUAUAACCCAUGUGACAGUCGUGGCUAUACACGAUUUCAUGCUUCAGCAGAGUCCAAGAAGGCAGCUUCUCGUAUCAAAGCUUACUGCGGCAUCCAAGUUGAAAACUAAAAUUUA